rnacentral:rRNA from 1 species
AGACCCGAAACCCGGUGAUCUAGCCAUGGGCAGGUUGAAGGUUGGGUAACACUAACUGGAGGACCGAACCGACUAAUGUUGAAAAAUUAGCGGAUGACCUGUGGCUGGGGGUGAAAGGCCAAUCAAACCGGGAGAUAGCUGGUUCUCCCCGAAAGCUAUUUAGGUAGCGCCUCGUGAAUUCAUCUCCGGGGGUAGAGCACUGUUUCGGCUAGGGGGCCAUCCCGGCUUACCAACCCGAUGCAAACUGCGAAUACCGGAGAAUGUUAUCACGGGAGACACACGGCGGGUGCUAACGUCCGUCGUGAAGAGGGAAACAACCCAGACCGCCAGCUAAGGUCCCAAAGUCAUGGUUAAGUGGGAAACGAUGUGGGAAGGCCCAGACAGCCAGGAUGUUGGCUUAGAAGCAGCCAUCAUUUAAAGAAAGCGUAAUAGCUCACUGGUCGAGUCGGCCUGCGCGGAAGAUGUAACGGGGCUAAACCAUGCACCGAAGCUGCGGCAGCGAACGUAUCACCCAAGACAACUUUACGGAGUUGACGAUUGACGGAGCGAAGCGACGUCAAAGCGUUCAUUAAAGUCGAGUUGGCUUAGGGAUACGUUCGUUGGGUAGGGGAGCGUUCUGUAAGCCUGUGAAGGUGUGUCGUGAGGCAUGCUGGAGGUAUCAGAAGUGCGAAUGCUGACAUAAGUAACGAUAAAGCGGGUGAAAAGCCCGCUCGCCGGAAGACCAAGGGUUCCUGUCCAACGUUAAUCGGGGCAGGGUGAGUCGACCCCUAAGGCGAGGCCGAAAGGCGUAGUCGAUGGGAAACGGGUUAAUAUUCCCGUACUUGGUGUUACUGCGAAGGGGGGACGGAGAAGGCUAUGUUGGCCGGGCGACGGUUGUCCCGGUUUAAGCGUGUAGGUGUGUGUUCCAGGUAAAUCCGGUUCACUUUAACACUGAGGCGUGACGACGAGGCACUACGGUGCUGAAGCAACAAAUGCCCUGCUUCCAGGAAAAGCCUCUAAGCAUCAGGUAACACGAAAUCGUACCCCAAACCGACACAGGUGGUCAGGUAGAGAAUACCAAGGCGCUUGAGAGAACUCGGGUGAAGGAACUAGGCAAAAUGGUGCCGUAACUUCGGGAGAAGGCACGCUGACACGUAGGUGAAGUGAUUUACUCAUGGAGCUGAAGUCAGUCGAAGAUACCAGCUGGCUGCAACUGUUUAUUAAAAACACAGCACUGUGCAAACACGAAAGUGGACGUAUACGGUGUGACGCCUGCCCGGUGCCGGAAGGUUAAUUGAUGGGGUCAGCGUAAGCGAAGCUCCUGAUCGAAGCCCCGGUAAACGGCGGCCGUAACUAUAACGGUCCUAAGGUAGCGAAAUUCCUUGUCGGGUAAGUUCCGACCUGCACGAAUGGCGUAAUGAUGGCCAGGCUGUCUCCACCCGAGACUCAGUGAAAUUGAACUCGCUGUGAAGAUGCAGUGUACCCGCGGCAAGACGGAAAGACCCCGUGAACCUUUACUAUAGCUUGACACUGAACAUUGAGCCUUGAUGUGUAGGAUAGGUGGGAGGCUUUGAAGUGUGGACGCCAGUCUGCAUGGAGCCGACCUUGAAAUACCACCCUUUAAUGUUUGAUGUUCUAACGUGGACCCGUAAUCCGGGUUGCGGACAGUGUCUGGUGGGUAGUUUGACUGGGGCGGUCUCCUCCUAAAGAGUAACGGAGGAGCACGAAGGUUGGCUAAUCCUGGUCGGACAUCAGGAGGUUAGUGCAAUGGCAUAAGCCAGCUUGACUGCGAGCGUGACGGCGCGAGCAGGUGCGAAAGCAGGUCAUAGUGAUCCGGUGGUUCUGAAUGGAAGGGCCAUCGCUCAACGGAUAAAAGGUACUCCGGGGAUAACAGGCUGAUACCGCCCAAGAGUUCAUAUCGACGGCGGUGUUUGGCACCUCGAUGUCGGCUCAUCACAUCCUGGGGCUGAAGUAGGUCCCAAGGGUAUGGCUGUUCGCCAUUUAAAGUGGUACGCGAGCUGGGUUUAGAACGUCGUGAGACAGUUCGGUCCCUAUCUGCCGUGGGCGCUGGAGAACUGAGGGGGGCUGCUCCUAGUACGAGAGGACCGGAGUGGACGCAUCACUGGUGUUCGGGUUGUCAUGCCAAUGGCACUGCCCGGUAGCUAAAUGCGGAAGAGAUAAGUGCUGAAAGCAUCUAAGCACGAAACUUGCCCCGAG